AGGACGAACGCUGGCGGCGUGCUUAACACAUGCAAGUCGAGCGGAAAGGCCCUUCGGGGUACUCGAGCGGCGAACGGGUGAGUGACACGUGAGCAACCUGCCCUUAGCUUCGGGAUAGCUCCGGGAAACCGGAAUUAAUACCGAAUAUGACUGCGGCUGACAUCAGCCACGGUGGAAAGUUUUUCGGCUAGGGAUGGACUCGCGGCCUAUCAGCUAGUUGGUGAGGUAACGGCCCACCAAGGCGACGACGGGUA
rnacentral:rRNA from 1 species